GCCGGGCGGGUGAGAUGGCGCAUGUCUGUAGUCCCAGCUACUGGAGAGGAUGAGGUGGGAGGAUCGCUUGAGUCCAGGGGUUCUGGGCUGUAGUGCGCUAUGCCGAUCUGGUGUCUGUACUAAGUUAGGCAUUAAUAUGGUGACCUCCCGGGAGCGGGGAGCCACCGGUUUGCCUAAGGAGGGGUGAACUGGCCCAGGUCAGAAACGGAGCAGGUCAAAACUCCUGUGCUGAUCAGUAGUGGGAUUGUGCCUAUGAAUAGCCACUGCACUCCAGCCUGGGCAACAUAGGGUGACCCCGUCUCU
rnacentral:SRP_RNA from 1 species